AAAGACCCAUAGGACUUUCUCCUACAUCAU
rnacentral:tRNA from 2 species